rnacentral:rRNA from 1 species
GACGAACGCUGGCGGCGUGCCUGACACAUGCAAGUCGGACGGUUCUUGCACCUUCAAGCUUGCUUGCUGGUGCAAGGAUAGUGGCGGACGGGUGAGUAACGCGUGAACAUCUACCCAUUGGAGGGGGACAACCCGUCGAAAGGCGGGCUAAUACCGCGUAAGCCGCGAGGUGAGAGGCUGCCUAUUGGUGGCCGCCGAUGGAUGGGUUCGCGUCCUAUCAGCUGGUUGGUGGGGUAACGGCCUACCAAGGCGAAGACGGGUAGCCGGUCUGAGAGGAUGGCCGGCCACACUGGAACUGAGACACGGUCCAGACUCCUACGGGAGGCAGCAGUGGGGAAUAUUGGGCAAUGGGGGUAACCCUGACCCAGCGACGCCGCGUGAGGGACGAAGGUUUUCGGAUCGUAAACCUCUGUUGUACGGGAAGAAGGAAUUGACGGUACCGUACGAGAAAGCCCCGGCAAACUACGUGCCAGCAGCCGCGGUAAAACGUAGACGUG